UGAGGCAGCUAAGAGAAAUCAUAUGAUGUUUU
rnacentral:piRNA from 1 species